rnacentral:rRNA from 1 species
UACGUAGGGUCCGAGCGUUGUCCGGAAUUACUGGGCGUAAAGAGCUCGUAGGUGGCUUGUCGCGUUGUUCGUGAAAACUCACAGCUCAACUGUGGGCGUGCGGGCGAUACGGGCAGACUGGAGUACUGCAGGGGAGACUGGAAUUCCUGGUGUAGCGGUGGAAUGCGCAGAUAUCAGGAGGAACACCGGUGGCGAAGGCGGGUCUCUGGGCAGUAACUGACGCUGAGGAGCGAAAGCGUGGGGAGCGAACAGG